rnacentral:rRNA from 1 species
AACGAACGCUGGCGGCAGGCCUAACACAUGCAAGUCGAGCGCGCGCUUCGGGGUGAGCGGCGGACGGGUGAGUAACGCGUGGGAACAUGCCCAUCUCUGCGGAAUAGAUUCGGGAAACAGAGAGUAAUACCGCAUCUGCCCCCUGGGGGAAAGAUAGAACGGAGCAGGAUGGGCCCGCGAUGGAUAAGGUUGUUGGUUGGGUAAUGGGCCACCAAGCCGACGAUCCAUAGAUGGGUUGAGAGGAUGGUCAGCCACACUGGGACGGGGACACGGCCCAGACUCCUACGGGAGGCAGCAGUGGGGGAUCUAGGACAGUCGGGGCAAUCCUGAUCUAGCCAUGCUGCGUGAGUGAUGAAGGCCUGAAGGUAGUAAAGCUCUUUCAGCUGGGAAUAUAAUGACGGUACCAGCAGAAUAAGCCCCGGCUAACUCCGUG